UUGAGUGAAUCGCGAUUCGCUCGAAGGGGCAGUGGAAAGGCGUUUCCAUUCAGCCACAUUAAUUUUUUCUCCAAAAUCUCCCCGAUUGAGAGAGAUGAAGCCCUGGCCCCCGUUACUUGCUCGACCAAACAGCAUCGAGCUCCACAGGCCGCUACUCUCCUUCUUGCGACCUUUUUCUUCCUUCCUCCAAAUCUCUGCGUCUCCUUUUCCUUUGAAUCUCCUCCGCGGAUUCAGAUUUCCGACCGCGAUGAGGACUUCUCCGAUCUCGAACUUUUGCAGUUCUUCCGCCUCCAAGGUUUCAACAAGUCCAGCAAUCGGAUUAUUCGAAUCGUCAGAAAAUACUUUCCCGCCAGUUUGUAAUUCAAGUUACUAGAGAGCAGUGCAAGAGAAAAUUGGCCCAACAAAGGCAUAAACUUGGAGUUACAGAACAGUGAGGAAUUUUGCUUCUAUAUGGUGGAUUUAGGAAGACCUUCCUCUGAUUUCAAGGACAGGCUUCAAGUUGCAUACUUCAUCCACCCAGGGCUCCGCUCGAGGCUUGUAUUUGCCACUCUCGAUUCUUCUUAAGUGGAGGUAUGUAUUGGAAGAUCAAGUAUGUAAGCCGCUUGCAGUAUCUUUGGGAUGAUAUAAAGAAGGAUGAUAUCGAGAUUCCUGAUUUUGUGAAAUCUCAUGAUGGUAUUCUUGAGCACAGACCACUAACGGAUUACGGUAUCGAACCAGACUCUUUCCACUUGUUCGAUGCUCCAUCGACAGCUUACUCAUUUGGGACAGAUGGGGCAUCAAGGGAAGACAUUUCCCAUUGUUAGGAUUAUGCUUCAUUUUGUUAAAUUGUAUUAAUUAGGAAUUUGCUUGACUUGGCAGAUGAUAAAUGCUAUAUAUAAGUGAAUCUACUAAUUUUGGUGUA